rnacentral:rRNA from 1 species
CAAGACCUCGCGCGAUUGGAGCGGCCGAUAUCAGAUUAGGUAGUUGGUGAAGGUAAAGGCUCACCAAGCCGACGAUCUGUAGCUGGUCUGAGAGGACGACCAGCCACACGUGGGACUGAGACACCGGCCCAGACCUCCGUACGGGAGGCAGCAGGUGGGGAAUUUGGACAAUGGGCGCAAGCCUGAUCCAGCAAUGCCGCGUGCAGGAUGAAGGCCUUCGGGUUGUAAACUGCUUUUGUACGGAACGAAACGGUGAGCUCUAAUACAGUUUGCUAAUGACGGUACCGUAAGAAUAAGCACCGGCUAACUACGUG